GAUGAAGAACGCAGCGAAAUGCGAUAAGUAAUGUGAAUUGCAGAAUUCAGUGAAUCAUCGAAUCUUUGAACGCACAUUGCGCCCGCCAGUAUUCUGGCGGGCAUGUCUGUUCGAGCGUCAUUUCAACCAUCAAGCCCCAGGCUUGUGUUGGGGUCCUGCGGCUGCCGCAGGCCCUGAAAAACAGUGGCGGGCUCGCUGUCACACCGAGCGUAGUAAUACAUCUCGCUUUGGACGUGCGGCGGGUUCUUGCCGUUAAACACCCCCCUUCUCAAGGUUGACCUCGGAUCAGGUAGGAAUACCCGCUGAACUUAAGCAUAUCAAAAGCGGAGGA
rnacentral:misc_RNA from 1 species